rnacentral:rRNA from 1 species
CCUACGGUGGGCAGCAGUGAGGAAUAUUGGGCAAUGGGGGCAACCCUGACCCAGCCAUGCCGCGUGAGUGAAGAAGGUCUUCGGAUUGUAAAGCUCUUUCGGACGUGACGAUGAUGACGGUAGCGUCUAAAGAAGCACCGGCAAACUUCGUGCCAGCAGCCGCGGUAAUACGGAGGAUGCGAGCGUUAUCCGGAUUUAUUGGGUUUAAAGGGUGCGUAGGCGGGCUGUUAAGUCAGCGGUAAAAGCCCGGGGCUCAACCCCGGCGAGCCGUUGAAACUGGCUGUCUUGAGAUGUCGAGAGGUAUGCGGAAUGCGCAGUGUAGCGGUGAAAUGCUUAGAUAUUGCGCAGAACUCCGAUUGCGAAGGCAGCAUACCGGCGGCGAUCUGACGCUGAGGCACGAAAGCGUGGGUAUCGAACAGGAUUAGAUACCCUUGUAGUC